rnacentral:rRNA from 1 species
UACAGAGGUCUCAAGCGUUGUUCGGAUUCAUUGGGCGUAAAGGGUGCGUAGGUGGUGGGGUAAGUCGGAUGUGAAAUCCCGGGGCUCAACCCCGGAACUGCAUUCGAUACUGCCUUGCUCGAGUACUGGAGAGGAGACUGGAAUUUACGGUGUAGCAGUGAAAUGCGUAGAUAUCGUAAGGAAGACCAGAGGCGAAGGCGAGUCUCUGGACAGUUACUGACACUGAGGCACGAAGGCCAGGGGAGCAAACGGG